GACGAACGCUAGCGGCGUGCUUAACACAUGCAAGUCGAACGGAAAGGCCCUGCUUUUGUGGGGUGCUCGAGUGGCGAACGGGUGAGUAACACGUGAGUAACCUGCCCUUGACUUUGGGAUAACUUCAGGAAACUGGGGCUAAUACCGGAUAGGAGCUCCUGCUGCAUGGUGGGGGUUGGAAAGUUUCGGCGGUUGGGGAUGGACUCGCGGCUUAUCAGCUUGUUGGUGGGGUAGUGGCUUACCAAGGCUUUGACGGGUAGCCGGCCUGAGAGGGUGACCGGCCACAUUGGGACUGAGAUACGGCCCAGACUCCUACGGGAGGCAGCAGUGGGGAAUAUUGCACAAUGGGCGGAAGCCUGAUGCGGCAACGCCGCGUGCGGGAUGACGGCCUUCGGGUUGUAAACCGCUUUCGCCUGUGACGAAGCGUGAGUGACGGUAAUGGGUAAAGAAGCACCGGCUAACUACGUG
rnacentral:rRNA from 1 species